AGUGAACGCUGGCGGUAGGCCUAACACAUGCAAGUCGAACGGCAGCACAGUAAGAGCUUGCUCUUACGGGUGGCGAGUGGCGGACGGGUGAGGAAUACAUCGGAAUCUACUUUUUCGUGGGGGAUAACGUAGGGAAACUUACGCUAAUACAGCAUACGCCCUACGGGUGAAAGCAGGGGAUCUUCGGACCUUGCGCGAUUGAAUGAGCCGAUGUCGGAUUAGCUAGUUGGCGGGGUAAAGGCCCACCAAGGCGGCGAUCCGUAGCUGGUGUGAGAGGAUGGUCAGCCACACUGGAACUGGGACACGGUCCAGGCUCCUAAGGGAGGGCGCAGUGGGGAAUAUUGGACAAUGGGCGGAAGCCUGGUCCAGCCAUACCGCGUGGGAGGAGAAGGCCUUCGGGUUGUAAAGCCCUUUUGUUGGGAAAGAAAAGCAGCAGGUUAAUACCCCGCUGUUCUGACGGUACCCAAAGAAUAAGCACCGGCUAACUUCGUG
rnacentral:rRNA from 1 species